UACGAAGGGGGCUAGCGUUGUUCGGAAUUACUGGGCGUAAAGCGAACGUAGGCGGUGUUCCAUGUCAGAGGUGAAAGCCUGGGGCUCAACUCCAGAAUUGCCUUUGAAACGGGGACGCUUGAGUCCGAGAGAGGAUGGCGGAAUUCCUAGUGUAGAGGUGAAAUUCGUAGAUAUUCGGAGGAACACCAGUGGCGAAGGCGGCUCACUGGUCCGGUACUGACGCUGAGGUGCGAAAGCGUGGGGAGCAAACAGG
rnacentral:rRNA from 1 species